GGGCUGGUGGUCUAGCCUGGUAGGAUGUCUGCCUCACACGCAGGAGAACCCCGGUUCAAAUCCGGGCCAGCCCA
rnacentral:tRNA from 1 species